rfam:Pontibacillus marinus BH030004 = DSM 16465 strain BH030004 contig158, whole genome shotgun sequence.
UGAGACAAGUAGAAGCACCCGCUUCUCACCUGAAUGACGUCCACAAUGGGCAGUUACCAGGUACGAUUUUUUCUGAACGUAAUGGGAAACGUGUGGGUGCAGUCUGUGUACCGACACUUUUUUUGAUUG